UCUCCCUCGCCCUCUCCCUCUCCCUCUCUCCCUCUCUCUCAAUCUCGCUGCCGUUCUCGUGGGCUCAACAGGUUGACAACCCUAAAAGGCCUCUCUCUCUCUCUCUCUCUCUCUCUCUCUCUCUCUCUCUCUCUCUCCUUCUGUCAAUCUCUCUUCCUCUCGAUCGGACUAGUAGCUACGCUCAACUGCAACAGCCUGGUAACCUAUCUUUACGCUCAGGGGUUUGAAUCUAUUGAGCGCAUUGACGAACGGGGUUGAGAUAUGGGCCACAAUAUGGAUUGGGAAUGAACUGAAGGGCUCCUCCAUUGAACAAUCCCAACCAUCUAAUCAGUAUACUUGCCUCCUAUCGCAUAUUAUGUGUUGAGCCUAUUGGUCAUAUUUCCAUUUUAAUUGUACAUUUAUAGGAAAGUCAUUGACUGG